AUUUAAAUAGCUUAUUUUUAGAGCAUAAUAUUGAAGAUAUUAAGGAAAUUAGUAUAAUUUUUAAGUA
rnacentral:tRNA from 1 species